rnacentral:rRNA from 1 species
AGUGAACGCUGGCGGUAGGCCUAACACAUGCAAGUCGAACGGCAGCACAGUAAGAGCUUGCUCUUACGGGUGGCGAGUGGCGGACGGGUGAGGAAUACAUCGGAAUCUACUUUUUCGUGGGGGAUAACGUAGGGAAACUUACGCUAAUACCGCAUACGACCUACGGGUGAAAGCAGGGGAUCUUCGGACCUUGCGCGAUUGAAUGAGCCGAUGUCGGAUUAGCUAGUUGGCGGGGUAAAGGCCCACCAAGGCGACGAUCCGUAGCUGGUCUAAGAGGAUGAUCAGCCACACUGGAACUGAGACACGGUCCAGACUCCUACGGGAGGCAGCAGUGGGGAAUAUUGGACAAUGGGCGCAAGCCUGAUCCGGCCAUACCGCGUGGGUGAAGAAGGCCUUCGGGUUGUAAAGCCCUUUUGUUGGGAAAGAAAAGCAGCAGGUUAAUACCCCGCUGUUCUGACGGUACCCAAAGAAUAAGCACCGGCUAACUUCGUG